GGGUGUUAGCUGCAUACCGCAGCGGGACAGGCUUUUCGCGCUGGUCGGGCCGCCACG
rnacentral:ncRNA from 2 species